rnacentral:lncRNA from 10 species
GCUCUAUUCCAGAAGCAGUCUGGAGCACAAAGAAUCCCUAAUCACUGACAUUAAGAAAGAAGAAAAAUAUUCCUAGGACGAUCCUGGAGAGCAAAGGUCAUCAGCAGUCACUUGACUUUCCUUGGAUUUCUCAACUGCAGUAGUCACAUGGUCUGCUGAAAAUGAAUUCUCUUUAUUUUCAUCUGAUUUCAAGGAAUUAUGGUUUUCAGUGAUUUCUUCAUUUGGAUCUAUUUUGAGACAGAGUAAUAGCAUUAAAACCCCCUUCUGAAUUAAUAAGGUAACAUGGGCUUAAAAUCACUCAAUUCACUAUUGGAUUCUUUGGAGCUGUUAAUCUGUUCAGUGAAAAGAACAAGAACUUUGGAACUCAAGAUUUAACUAUGGUUCCAUCACUGACCUUGGGCAUUUGUUGCUGAAACGCAAAGUGUGACAAGCCAAUGGAGUAUUUUAUGGGUGCAAAGGAAAUUAUAUGUCAAAAGCAAUGGAGAGAAAACAUUUGAGAAAAUGGAAGAAGUGCUGAGACACUGGAGUCUACCCUGAAAGAUAAAGCUUCACCUGAGGAGAUCUGCAAAUUAGUAGCUUUUUGCCAGAAGGCAUUCUCCAGUCUAUGCAGCUCAAGUAAUAGAAGGCUACAGCCUUGGUGGAAUGACUUGAGGGAACAGGGGACUGAGUCUAGGACCAUCAGAUCAGCCAAUAAGUAUGUGGAAAAUAGCAGAGGACAGUGACCACAAAAUCUGCAUAUGAAAUUCACCAAAAACCUUUACCACCUCUAUU